rnacentral:rRNA from 1 species
GACGAACGCUGGCGGCGUGCUUAACACAUGCAAGUCGAACGGAAAGGCCCUGCUUUUGUGGGGUUCUCGAGUGGCGAACGGGUGAGUAACACGUGAGUAACCUGCCCUUGACUUUGGGAUAACUUCAGGAAACUGGGGCUAAUACCGGAGAGGAGCUCCUGCUGCAUGGUGGGGGUUGGAAAGUUUCGGCGGUUGGGGAUGGACUCGCGGCUUAUCAGCUUGUUGGUGUGGUAGUGGCUUACCAAGGCUUUGACGGGUAGCCGGCCUGAGAGGGUGACCGGCCACAUUGGGACUGAGAUACGGCCCAGACUCCUACGGGAGGCAGCAGUGGGGAAUAUUGCACAAUGGGCGGAAGCCUGAUGCAGCAACGCCGCGUGCGGGAUGACGGCCUUCGGGUUGUAAACCGCUUUCGCCUGUGACGAAGCGUGAGUGACGGUAAUGGGUAAAGAAGCACCGGCUAACUACGUG